AUGCUGUGUCCUGACUCUCGCUCCUUGCUAUAUUGGGAUAUAGAGUUGCAGAAAACCCAGAGAGGCCUGAAGUUUGCAGAACACAGUGAACCCAGAUCAUUCUGCCAUCAAGUAGUUUGGAGAAUUCCAGAAGUGAAGGGGUUGUCAGGACGCUUCAGCUCCAUCCCCAGGACUGUCACUACCGGGCACAGCAGCACAACACCAGGAGAAGUGCUUGCAUUUACUCCCUGCAUUGCACUGUAUGUUCUUGUGAACCUGGGCAACCUGCCUGUGGCAGCAGACAGACCUCUCCUUGCUCGGCCUGCACUCCCCAGGGCCCCUCCUGUCCUUUUAUGGGGUCCCCAGGACAGUUGGUCCUCCCCGUUGUCCUCAUGCAGAGCCUGUGUGAUGGUCAGAUCCGCCUGGCUGCUGGGAGGGAAGGAGUCUGCCAAGG
rnacentral:lncRNA from 12 species